GUAGUAGAGUGUUCUCUAAGUAAUGGCCUAGAGAAAUAAGAAUGCUGACAUGAGUAAUUGAAUAGACCUUAAGUACAAGUUAAGUAUAAGACAAAAUACCUAAGGUAAGAUACGGAUGUAUAAUCCUACUGAUAGUUAAUGAAUAUUAAUAAAACCAUAAGAUGGGUUAUUGAGUUUAUUACUCUGAAGAUAUCUUAUAUGUAAGGUUACUUUUACCAAGUAAUAACCUUACGUGUAAUCAUUGUUAGGGAAUAUGGCAAGUUUAUCCUGUAACUUCGGAAUAAAGGAUGACGUACUAGAUGUAACUAUCUGGUACGUAAUACAGAAAGGGAUCUGAUACUGUUAUGUUUAUUCCAGCUCUAUGAAUGGAUAUAAUCUUACGCAUAGAGUAUGACGUUUACCCGGUGCUAUCAUAUAGCAUUAUUAGUCCGACUACCUAUGGACUACAAAACAUAACACAGGUUCACUACCCUAAUAAUAGGCUUAAUGAAAUCAUAAUAUACGUGAAAAUACACGUUAACAACUACAAAACGACAAAGACCUUGGAUUUCACUGUUUCCAUACGCCAUUUGAGACGUACGUAUAUCGUAUGUUUUAAAGGUUGUACUUGACGGUGCAACAUACGUAUGGUUGUCAGUUUAUUUGCAAAGGACACCACAUAAAGAGUAACUGCGGUUCUCUUAAGGUUGCUUAGAAUAUAUCAAUAUUCUAUUACGUAAUGGUAAGAAGCAAUCAGACAGUA
rnacentral:ncRNA from 1 species